ACGUACACUCCUACGGGAGGCAGCAGUGAGGAAUAUUGGACAAUGGGUGGAAGCCUGAUCCAGCCAUCCCGCGUGCAGGAAGACGGCCCUAUGGGUUGUAAACUGCUUUUAUCUGGGGAUAAACCUACUUACGUGUAAGUAGCUGAAGGUACCAGAAGAAUAAGCACCGGCUAACUCCGUGCCAGCAGCCGCGGUAAUACGGAGGGUGCAAGCGUUAUCCGGAUUUAUUGGGUUUAAAGGGUCCGUAGGCGGACUGAUAAGUCAGUGGUGAAAUCCGACAGCUUAACUGUCGAACUGCCAUUGAUACUGUUAGUCUUGAGUAAGGUUGAAGUGGCUGGAAUAAGUAGUGUAGCGGUGAAAUGCAUAGAUAUUACUUAGAACACCAAUUGCGAAGGCAGGUCACUAAGUCUUAACUGACGCUGAUGGACGAAAGCGUGGGGAGCGAACAGGAUUAGAAACCCUGGUAGUCCCAUGA
rnacentral:rRNA from 1 species